CUUCCAGUAGCACCUUAGAGACCAACUAAACUUGUUAUUGGUAUGAGCUUUCGUGUGCAUGCACACAAAAUACCAAUAACAAACUUAGUUGGUCUCUAAGGUGCUACUGGAAG